AUCAUGGCCUUCGCUCCCGUCUCUGUAAUUGUCAUCUUGUUAGUGUUGGGAGGGACGGAUGGAGAUUCAGUGAACCAGACAGAAGGCCACGUCACCCUCGUUGAAGAGGCAACACUUACUCUCACCUGCACAUAUGAAUCGAGUAGUUAUACCCCUUAUCCCUUCUGGUACGUCCAGUUUUCUGGGGAAGCCCCUAAGCUUCUCCUGAAGGACACGACUGAGAAAGAACAAAAGGAAAGCAGCAAUGGUUUUCAUGCCAGACACGAAAAGACCUCCAAGUCUUUCGACCUGAAGAAAUACGCCGUCACCCUUGGAGACUCAGCUGUGUACUACUGUGCUGUGAGUGACACAGUGACAGGGGCUGCAGGGGGAAGCUGUACACAAACCCCUGACAGGCCCAGCAGCAACGAGCUGGAAAUUGAGCUUCCUUCUCUCCCGCAGCCACAGACACCCACCUGUUCUGGGGCUCGCUCCAUGGAGACGGGAAAGUACCGGCCUUGCUUAUCCAGCAGAGAAUGGCUACCAUCAAGGUUAA